rnacentral:rRNA from 1 species
CCUACGGGUGGCUGCAGUGGGGGAUAUUGCACAAUGGGGGGAACCCUGAUGCAGCGACGCCGCGUGGGUGAAGGAGCGUUUCGGCGCGUAAAGCCCUAUCGGCAGGGAAGAAGAUGACGGUACCUGACCACGAAGCCCCGGCUAACUACGUGCCAGCAGCCGCGGUAAUACGUAGGGGGCAAGCGUUAUCCGGAUUUACUGGGCGUAAGGGGGGCGCAGACGGGAAUGCAGGCCAGGAGUGAAAGCCCGGGGCCCAACCCCGGGACUGCUCGUGGAACUGCAUGGCUGGAGUACCGGAGGGGCAGGCGGAAGGCCUAGUGUAGCGGUGAAAUGCGUAGAUAUUAGGAAGAACACCGGUGGCGAAGGCGGCCUGCUGGACUGUGACUGACGUUGAGGCCCGAAGGCGUGGGGAGCAAACAGGAUUAGAUACCCUUGUAGUC